UCUCUCCAUCGAAGCUUAAAUCAAAAAAGAUUCAGAUCGAUGCCCCGAUCUGAACAAAACCUGAUUCAGAUCCAUCGAAGCUUAAAUCACUCUCUCUUGCUUCAAACCCUUUUCUCUCGAUUCGCAGAUCAGUCUUAUCUCUAUCUCUAGUUCAUGUUCGAGUUCGCAGGUCUUUCUUCAUGGUUUGCUAGGUUUUAUCUAGAUCAGAUCGAUCGAUUGAAGAUCUAUUGAUCGAUUGAACGUGAUUUCGAAGUUCAACCUUCUUCAGCUCGGUGAUUCAAUCUCAAAUUCGUUCAGUGAGGAAAGUGAGCACCAUCAUCUACCAAGAAGGACUGAAUAGAAUUGAAGGACUAAAAGUGGAUGUCAAUUCAGUGGAGACCAACAUAGUAACCUGAAAUUGACAUAUGGUAAUAUACAAUGUAGAAUAAGUAGUUUGUUUGGUUAAUAUAUGCAUAUCUAGAG